CUGUGUGCCAUCCAGUGGAAAAGCAGGCUCGUAAAAACAUUACGGUGUGUUCUCACCCACCUUAUUCACUGCAGGUGGCACCACGAGACCCCUGGCUCUUCCUCAAAAUAACGAUUACCGUGAAAGGCAAAUAUGCUAACUGAUUCAGGACACUGCGGCGGCCAUGAUAGCACAACGAAAUUAUCAACUAAAAACACGAAGCAGGACUCCCACAGCUCCUUGGGAAAAUGACAAGAACAAUGGCGGACAGAGAGUGGGUCCGGAAGACAGCAGCCUGCACUCGGACAUGUGAGACUGGAGAGGCACAAAGGGCAGCAAGUAGAGAUGUCACCAGCCUGGCUGACAUCAGCCCUGUGGUUCUGGGCAGAGCUCUGGGCCAGAGCUCUAAAUGCUGUCUGCAUAAACAGCAAGUUUGGAUCCAAGAGACUGAAUGAGCUCAAGUAAGAAAAUCUAGACAGAAAGGUAAAAACACCUAAGAUGAAAACCUGGAUUCAAAAACUGGGGGCACGAGGAGCCAUCAGCAAAGGAAACAGAAGCAAGGGGAGGUGAUGGAAGAGGAAAGCCAGGCUUAAGCUUCAGAAAGAAAGUGAAGGGCUGGUUAAUUAUGCCAAGAAUUGAUAGGAAAGUCAGGUGAAGUCACUAAUUAUAUCUCAUAAUUUUAUUUAGUCAGUUAUUUUCCCUCAGUCUUUUAACUUACUCUCUCAAACUGUAACUAAACUCAUUCUCUUAUUUUUAAUACCACAGCCCACCCUACUGCCCCACCCCCCAACACACACACAGCAUUUUCACCUCUGCCUUUCUACAAGGUUCACCACCUGUUCCCUGGAUCACAUCAGCAAAAGGACCAGAUGCUAGAAGUCUAAUGCAGAGACUUUUCUAUAAAGGGAAGGGAAAUAGAAGGCAAAUGGAGGCUGAAAAUUUUGAUAACUAUAUAUAUAUGUAUAUAUAUAUUUAAAUUUUUUGUAUUUGUUGACUAAAAAUAAAACUGCUCAAAUGAACCAGCUAUCAAAGAAACAUGGAUUAAAAUAAAUUGUCUCUCCUCUUUUUUCCAGAUCAAACUGGUAUUUCAAAAAGCAAAGCCCGUAUGG
rnacentral:lncRNA from 1 species